rnacentral:rRNA from 1 species
AUACGGGGGAUGCAAGCGUUAUUCGGAAUCAUUGGGCGUAAAGGGCACGCAGGCGGUUCUGUCAGUCAGAUGUGAAAGCCCGGGGCUUAACCCCGGACGUGCAUUUGAAACAGCAGGACUUGAGUAUGGUAGAGGAAAGCGGAAUUCCUGGUGUAGAGGUGAAAUUCGUAGAUAUCAGGAGGAACACCGGUGGCGAAGGCGGCUUUCUGGACCAAAACUGACGCUGAGGUGCGAAGGCGUGGGUAGCGAACAGGAUUAGAUACCCUAGUAGUCC